GGGGAUCAACUCGAUCGUUGCGCUCCUCCCUGCUCCCUCCCCACCCCUCAAAGAAAAAGAAAAAAAAGCUGCGUCGACGCGGUCGGCGAGGUUGCGGGGGAGAGCCCAGCCGGCGGAGGCGACGCGGGCGGUAUGGUUGCGCCAUCCCGGUCGCGGACCAACUCCGUGCGGAAGAGUUGGUUGGGGCCUCCCGGACCGCAGGCCGAUGUAGAUCGACGCCAAUCAUCAUCCUAGUUUGGCUAUUCGGCUGUUCGUCGCGCGAAACCGCUCCGCGGCUUGAAACGAAGCAAUCACUGGUCACUUUGUCGAGGAAUCCAUGGCGGAAUGCGGGUGAUGUAGCCCCCCUGCGGGCGGUGAUGGAUGCGAUAUUCAUACUGUUGUGGUCAACUGAUUCGGCCAGAUCUUGGAGACUGGUUAUCACAUUUUUUUUAAUUAUCUCUGGACAGCGAAUGAUGUUCCAAAUUGGCAUUCUUCAUCACAACUGUGGUAUAACGUGAGCCUUCAAAACAAGGGAACAGUGAGUUGCAGAGUAGCAUGUGUGUUCAACAUCAUUUCCCCAUUAUUCCUGUUGAGGUAAUCCAGUGACCUUAACUAGGAUGGCCUUCUGUUGAUUGGUAUUCUCCUGCAGCUAUCAAAGAAAUGGAAUGGUCAGCUUCUCUACUGCAGUUUGUUACUAGUUACCAUUCUUCAAGAAUUUCUGAAAUUAUAUAAUAAACAGGUACCAUGUUAUAAAAUUCUGUUAUUUAUACCCUUGCAAUUGUUUGCAGUGUGUUAGCCACCUUAUUCUACCAAUACAUGUUCCAGAAUUAAUUGGACCAGUUUAUGUUUAGAAGAUUCCUAUUUGAUUGACUCGGUGAAUAUUUUUAAUGUAACAGAUAUAAACAACAAUGUACUUAAAUUGCCAUCCGAAUAAAGAGGCUGUUCAUUUUCAAUGUUAUUUAUACAAUGUGACUUUACAAUAAUUUAUCUCUGGUGGGAUGAAUGUCACCUGAUGUGCCGUUAGGUACUCUUCUACUAUUGUAGGUUCUAUUUUUACACAACUACCUAUGAACAUACUUGCACAUCCAUAUCUAACAUUGAUGAUAUCCCUGCGGCCUAUAGACUAUAUGGUGCAUGUUUGCUAACGAGUAUUCACUGCAAAGGGAGGGGCUGCAUAAUGUCAGAUAAACAUAUACUACUAUAGUACAAUAUUGCUAGUUCAUCUAUAUACAUGGUAUUAUACCUUGCAGGUAGUGCACCUGUUAGGAUUGUUAGAAACCAAUUUCCUUUCCUGAAUACGCAGGUUAGAGAAGCUCAUUUUCCGUUGUUUUAAGGCUCAUCCUCAGGUUCAUUACAUAAACCAGAUGGUUACAAUAAUCUUCAUUAUGAACAAUGGUUGGUGUGUUCGUGCUGAUGCUUAGAGAAAUAAAACAUUGCUUUCUUAAGCGCUGGUGCUUAUUUGUAGAUGGUGUCUGCUUAAUUAGACAUCCCUCCUAUAGAAAUAAACAUUGACUGCACCACCCCUCAAUACUUAUUCUACGGCCAACUAGCCAAAAUUAGCAUUAAUGGCUAUUGUCUACUAAUCUGCCUAUGCUGAUGGAUGGGUGAAGCUAGAUUAAUAAUUACUAGUUCAGCACGACCGUAGUUAGCUUCAUUAUUUGUCACCUGUGCGUUUAGUAAUCUCCCUUAGCCCUCAUCUUGUACCUGUCAAAAUUGUACAACCAUUUGUAGUUCUUUUGAUUGUGUGAUCAGUGAUGCUAAUUUUUGAACUUGCAGUUAUGAAAGGAAAUUAGCAGCUAUGUUCUUGUCUCAUGAAUUUAUAAAUAUUCUUGAUCUAAUGGAAAGUCAUAUUGUCAUAUACAAAUGCAGCUGUAUCUUUAUAACGCUUAAGUGGUACAUUACUAUUACAUUUGAUGAUAAUUAUUUUUCCGCAUCGGCCUAUAUUUUCAUCAACUAGGCUUGUCCUUUGCCAUAUCCAAAUCCUGGCUCCGCCACUAGGUCGAGCGCGCAUGCGGGUGUGUGCAGCCACAACGUUUAUUUUGGCUACUCUUGUUUAUCCUCCGCUCUUCCUAGAUCCCACGUGGUUCCUCAGGGAGGUUCAGCCGUCCGGGCGGAUGUCGGCUUCAUCGUCGUCAUUGGACAAUGAUACCACCUGAUGGCUCGGUCCAGUCUCUCGCUCACCUUAGUUGAUAAUAGGUUUUGUCAAACUAUUUUUAGGUGAAAUUUGUGUUCCUAGCUUGCACUAACCAACUAACAUGUGUUCCUAUUGUGAAAACUUGUGCUCAAAACUAGCACCAAUAUGCACUUCCAACAAGUGUUCCUAACUAUUACUAACAUAUGUGCUUUCAACUACAUUAAUAUGUGUCCUUAGCGUGAACCUCCCUCAAUGUGAACUAAUCUCCCUCAGCGUGAACUAACAUGUUCUCCCACAAUUGUGCUCCCAUGAGAAGCGCAUAUGUGCUUCUAACUUAAACUAGUUCACCCACAAUUGUGCUCCCAUGAGAAGCGCAUAUGUGCUUCUAACUUAAACUAACCCGUGCUCUCACCUAGGACACCGUGGUGGUGCUGAGAUGCGCCACAUGGAGCGCUCUAGCGCUCCCACCGUGGCAAUAGAAAGAAUGCGGCAAUAGAAAGAAUGCAAAGCGGGUUGUUCCAUCUGGCGCGAACCAUCUACACCAUUAGGUAGAUGAGAUUAGAGCUACUCUUUGAAUGAUGAACCAUGAUAAGGCUCCUGGUGCCUGAUGGAUUCUCAAUGUCUUUCUAUCCGUAGGACGAUGAGGAGUUAAUGAAUGACCCAGUUGAUGAAGAAGAAUAAAAUAUAUGUAGUUGCAUAGAGGAGGCGAUGAUAGGGGGCACCCCUGGGUUAGUUGCUCCCCAUAACCAAUUGUGCAUAUACCUCUAGUCAGUCCUCACGGGCUGACUCUGCCGCACUUCAAAGACGAGCAUAAAUAUUGGCCAGCUCUUCUAUUCUUCUGCUAUGUGGUCGAAGCGCCAGAUUCAAGACUUUGGGCUUGAGAUAGUGGAGCACGAUAUCCUCGUCCGUGGGGCGAAAUCUGAAUCCUGGUAUUAGCUGCCAUGGUGUACUACUUGUCUCAGCAACUUCAGUAGACGUCUCGGUUGAUUGCUCGUUGGGUACAUCCCUAUGUUCCGUUGUAAUAAUCGAACUAUUCAUGCUAUCAGAAUCGUCAUUGUGGUCGUUGUUGCCAUCCUCCGGUUGCUCUGCUGCCGAGCUAGUCGGGUCAUUGCUGCUGCCACCAAGCUGUGUUGAUGAUGACACCAUCGUAUUGUUUGAAGUCGUCAUUGUCGCCCCGCAAUGCGAGUUGAUAUUGCUAUCAGAACACACAAUGUUAUCAGGACAUGCGUCUAAGUCUGUUCCAAAGAA